GCCGGAGACCUGUUUUAUGGAGAAUAAAACAGCUUUUCUAGAAGACUAAAAUGACUUGGGUCUUCAUCUCAUAGAGGAGAACAUGUCUUCAAGUUGUGUUCAUAAAAAAACACAUACAGGUUUGGAAUGACAUGAGGUGUCAGCAUGCUGAAAUAUGAGACAUGUUGUAUGAAGAAAGUAGAAAAAUCAAGG